rnacentral:lncRNA from 12 species
AUGCUUUUCCUCUUGCAGCAUUUCUUCCUGCUGGCCACAGACUUAAUGCUCGCCAUGACCCUUUCCUGCCUCUUUUAUGCCUUCGUGUGCGUUUCCAUCGUGUUUCUGACCUGCUGCAUUAUCAUCUUCUCCUUUGGCACGGUGGAGAGGAGUGUUGAUAUGAAAGGGAGAGCAAUCGUAAUUCUUGUGUCCAACAGCUCCAUUGGGAGGAUGUUUGCAAGGAACCUGGAUAAAGCAGGUUUCGGGGUGUCUGCUGCACAAUGGUCUGCUCAGGAGGAGAGGACAGUGACAGAAGAGUGCUCAUCGAACAAGGAGGUAGCCCAGUUCCACCUGACUGAAGAUGAGUAUCAGAAGACAGUGAAAACCUUCAUAGAAAGCCACUUAUCCCUGAAAGGCAUAUAUGGGAAGAUGAGGAAGCCAUCGAUCCUGAUAUGGGAUGAAGGGGCACCAGACAAACAUGGCUUACCUGAGAGAAAAGCUUCCUGUGAGGGGAAGAAGGCUUUCAAGGCUCCACACAGGAACUGCUUACUGCAGACAGCUCUCUACAUCUCUAUCCUCUGUCAUCCACUGACCUGUCUCCUGAGUCUCCUGAAGAGAAGCCCACAGCUGCUUGUCCCUCUGCUGAAGUCCAAAAACUGAGAGGUGAGGCAGCACCCUCACAGCUCAGGUACCUGCCAGAGGUAACCAGCAUUUCUUCUACUUCUGCUGGGACAGGGAAGGGGGACCCAGGUGGUGGGGAGAGGGCUGGGGGCACAGCCCAGGAGCAGCCUCCUGCAGCACUCUGACACCUCAAGGACAGUGCCUUUCUGCAUCAGUGUGGCCCUGAGCAGUCCAGCCCAGAGCACAGCAGUGCAUUCAAAUCACCAGCAAACAGGAGACCAGCCAGCUCAGUCUCCAAGGCAGAGCAUUAACUGCUCUCCAGCAUCUCACUGGAUCUUAAGAUGCACAAUACUUGCUCUUAAAGGGCAAACCCCAAAAUAUCCUGUCUCUUGCUCAUUGCUGGACCAUCUCUCCCCAGUUCCUGCAUUCUCACUGCUGGAGGCUCCUAAGGCCCUUGGAUUCCAUUUACUCCAGCACAUGGCAGGAAGAGCAAUGAAGUGGUGUUCCUCAACAUCCCUGCUUGAAAGGAAGCACCCAGAGCACUAUGAUUCUCUGAUCCAGGCUUUAGGACAGGAAAGAAAACAGAAAAAUAAUUAAAAACAGAAAAUGAAAAGGCAGUUCAUGAGAUGACCUGCCAGUGUCCCCACUGGGUGGUCUAAUCUUUUCCUGCUUAAAGGGAGAGAAUCCCUGCCUCUCCAUCUAACACUACUGCAGGUAUCUGGUUGUCAGCAGCAUCUUUAUCCUUCCUGAGUGUUGGAUCAGGGGCAUAAAGCAGUCUCUGGAUGCUGCAUGGAACACAGAAGUGAAUUCAGCCUGUUAGCCCCUGCCCUGUGUCACCAGUGGUCGCUGCAGCAGCUGGGCUGAGGCAGCACAUGCAGCCCAGCAGCAGCAGGAAUGAACUCAGGGAAAUGAGUGAACAGCACUGAAGAGCUAAAACUCUCCUGCUGUCUUUCAGCCAGGAAGGAAACCCACGGAGCUCUACACAUUAGCACUGUCACACCACCACGAACAAAAGGAGCAUAGCUGGGAUCAGAAGUGACAAACUCCUGGCAGCAGGGGAUUAUGAGCAGUGACUUCAAUUGCAAGACAACAAAAAACUGUGGAUGAAGACAGAAAACACCUUCAGAACCAUGGCACUGGACUGCAACUCCCUUGCAAGUCUAAUCUGUAAGGAAGAGAACACCAAGAUGCUGAAAUUUUGGGUUGUUCAUUACAAUGCUGUACUGUGCACACUGGGGUAUGUACAGAGGAAAAAACAUCUGAGGUGAAAGGAAAUAAAGGAAGAUCUGUGCUGGGAAGCAAAACGCUAGGGCUUGGUUUUCAUUAUCUAAAGCCACAACUCAGAACUGCUUGACUGAUGAUAAGAGAUGUCACCCUCCCAGGGAGGAAAAGGAAAGCUUUCAAAACAGCUUCUGUAAGACAUUAAACCAGCUUAAUAUCAAAUCAGACUGAAAACAAACAUUUUAAUUCUGUGACAUCAAAGUACUGAGAGAGAACAUGUUAAAGCAGAAAAUUCCUGAAUUAAAAGCUUGAGGUUUUAGUCUUUACACAUUUGGCAAAUAACCAGUUACAUGAAUUAUGCCAAACUCAUGUAUUCUGCAGAACAUCCCAGGAAAUGUUUCCUUUAGUCAGAACCCUGCUCUGAGCCAGUGUUGUCAACUCCCUCAGUGCAAAAUCCCAUUCUGUGCACAUAACCCUGUACAAUUUCAGCUGAUUUUUUUUUUUUUCUCCUCCAAAAUGUGGCAGGGGACAUGUGUGGGCUGCUGCAUGGCUACUGCUGCUCUCCCAAAGUGACCUUCAAGCAAAGGAUGCUGCCUGCUUGUGCACACUGUAGUAUUCAUGGUCUGAAAUUAGAGACAUUAUGUGAGCAAAGCUCCUGAAGACCUCAGUGGAUGUUUUGCUGGCCUGAGACUCGGGAAUGGCCUACAUUUGUUUAUAAAGCUUUCCAGUCCAUUGGGAUACAGGGAACUACUGUGUGCAAGCUUAAAAUUAUGACUGUGAGGCAAUACCACCAUGAGAUAAAUCAUAAUAUAGCUGCACUUAAAAGCAUGUUUAACACAAAUUAGUUAUAUCAAACUAACACCAAAGUUAUAGAUUGCUGAAGCUGACUAAGGGAUCUGAAUGCCCAGAUGCUUUUAAUUUGAGUGGGAAUGAGGGAUUUGAAUUCCUUAAAUAGUGUUGAAUGUUUCAUCACUAACAUAUAACAGAAAAAUUAAAGCAACUGGCUUUUCAAGCCUACAAACCUGGCCAAAAGAUCCUGGCAACAUCUUUAGACAUAUCUCCCCAAGCAUACAGCCAUUAAAAUUAGAGAUUCAGAAAAUCCUGAAAGUAUUCCAAGUCUUGAUGAAUGUUUUCAGAAAAAAACCAGCAUUUCCAACAUGUUUUUCAAUAAGUCACUUUGAUCCAUUUAAUAAAAAUGUAAUUGGGCUAUGAAAGUCUGCUAAAAUAAAAAUGGAUUUAGCACCAAAUUCUAUGUCAUGCAACUCAGCACAGAAAUAACUGAUCACCCAAGACCUGUUCUUUCACCUCAAUCUCAACUGCAAUACUUCCAUAUUUUGAACCUUCUUAAGAAAGCACAGAAUUGGACUUCAAACAUAACAGAUUUUCCUGGGCAGCACUGUAAAAUGAUUUCCCAACAGAACUGAAAUGUUAGUGGUGAUGGAGAACCACAGGGAAGCUGGUUACAUGAAAGCAUCCUUCUAUCACUUCAAAUUAUGUUAGUAACUAAUCUACAAGCCAAUAUUAUUUCUUUAUAGAUGUCUGCAUACCUGUCAAAAGAUAGGAAGAGAGCAUCCCCUUGGGUUAAUACUCUCCAGCAUUGUCACUCCCUUAGUAGCAGUCUCUCCCUAUUUUUGGGGACACUUUUCUCCUGACUUUCCUCUCCUGAGCAGGGGUCAGACACACAAACAGCUCCACUGAAGUUAGAGCACCUCACACUGAAUAUUGGGAGGUGUUUCAGACACCUGAGGAGAGAGAUUUCCCUUCAUGUGUUUACUGUAUUCAGGGAAGAACAGAGGGACAAGAAGCCAGGGAAGCAAAAUAAUGAUUAGUGUAAUGGGAUUUGCUAUUCUUGUUAAUAGUUUAAUCAAUAUAAACAUAUACAGAACCCUCUGACGUGCCUGCCAUGCUCAAGUGUCUCUAUAAUUAGCUCAAUACUCUUAAGCCAUGGUUAG